rnacentral:rRNA from 1 species
UACAGAGGUCUCAAGCGUUGUUCGGAUUCAUUGGGCGUAAAGGGUGCGUAGGCGGCACGACAAGUCGGGAGUGAAAGCCCGGGGCUCAACCCCGGAAUGUCUCUCGAAACUGUCGAGCUAGAGUGCGGAAGAGGCAACUGGAAUUCCCAGUGUAGCGGUGAAAUGCGUAGAUAUUGGGAAGAACACCUGAGGCGAAGGCGGGUUGCUGGGCCGACACUGACGCUGAGGCGCGAAAGCCAGGGGAGCGAACGGG